CUUCCUGCGGUGUUCGUGAAUAGAGAUUCUUAUUUUACCAACAUUUUUACUAAGGGAAUCCGGCUCCGUGCGCGGCAUAUACGCCCCCCGUUUAUCGGCUAGGGGACAUAUAAAACGUGCGGGAGGAUACCCACCUGCCGAGGCAGGUAAAAAUCAAUCCUACAACGGCAUUGCGGGUCU
rnacentral:other from 1 species